rnacentral:rRNA from 1 species
AACGUAGGUGGCAAGCGUUAUCCGGAUUUACUGGGCGUAAAGCGUGUGCAGGCGGGUGGACAAGUGGUGUAUGAAAUCGCCAGGCUAAACCUGGCGGGGUUAUGCCAGACUGUCCGUCUGGAGUGCGAGAGAGGGGCGUGGAAUUCCGGGUGUAGUGGUGAAAUGCGUAGAGAUCCGGAGGAACCCUAGAGGCGAAGGCGGCGCCCUGGCUCGCAACUGACGCUCAGACACGACAGCAUGGGGAGCGAACGGG